GCUGUCAUUUAGUGGUAGAGUAUCUCCUUCACAUGCAGAAGGUCCCAGGUUCAAUCUCUGGCAUCUCCA